AGGUAAAAUUAGAGAGAAUCUGAGAUAGCCAGCUAACUGCUACUAUGGUUUUCAAACAAUUUGUAGGCUAAUAUUAGCAUAUCGGCUAUCAUUAGUUAAAAGAAACCCAGUUUUAUCUAUUAGAGCCUCAUUAACCAGCUAGGAAAUUGACUAUCAGGAGAAAACUGUUUGGCCAGAUGUUGAAGUCAUGGAGAGAUUCUUUCUUUGGUUUUAUGGACCAAUUUUAACUUUUAGUCUUUGUCUGGUCAAUGUUGGCUAAUGCUAGCAUGCAUGCUUAUAUAGAUAAAUAGCUAAGAAUCAUUCUCUGUAUUUCACAAUGUAAAAUACAGAGAAUUUCAUUUGUUUUUUACUUGGAUGUGUCAAUGAUUUUUUUGUUUGGUUUUUUUGUCCUCUUACUCUCUUUGUCAAAGGUAACGCUAAUUAUCUAUUAGCUUGUACCGUUUGGAACGGUAAAGAAAAAAGAAAGAAAACAACCAUUCUAAUCAAACAGUCGUUGGUAAAUGGAUUGCAGAGAACCGCACACUGUUGUAAUAAACACCAGCACCACUGAUCUGGACCCUCCUGGGAUCAACACUCUCAUCUCAUCACGCCUUUUGGGCAUUUUGGUCAUCCAAGCAGGGCUCUCAGAGACGAGACGGGAAGCGGUUGUGGGGUAAAAGGGAGCAUAAUUGCUUCGAAUGCGAGUUGAAAACUGCAAAGCCAUCAGACUGGAGUCAGCUGAGCGGAGCAGACUGUGUCUUCAUUAACCUCCUCUACCUCAGCAGAUAGGACUGCAAGUAUUACCUGAUACACUGUUUAACAAAUAAUUUCUACUGUUAAUAACACCAAAUUGGCAAAACUUAAAGAAAUGCAGGCUUAAAAGGUGUAUCUGACAUUACCUCACACUGAUGAGCCUCAGCAGUUACAACCUUCUGAAAGCUUUCAUUUGUUUUUACUACUUUCCCAUAUUAGCAGGUGAAAUUUCACUUAUCCUUGCCCUCACCUAAGCCUCAGAGAGGAUUAAAAGCCAUGGACCAGGACAGUUAAUAUUAAAAUAAU